rnacentral:rRNA from 1 species
AACGAACGCUGGCGGCAGGCCUAACACAUGCAAGUCGAGCGAGGACUUCGGUCCUAGCGGCGGACGGGUGAGUAACGCGUGGGAACGUGCCCUUUGCUACGGAAUAGCCCCGGGAAACUGGGAGUAAUACCGUAUGUGCCCGAGAGGGGAAAGAUUUCUCGGCAAAGGAUCGGCCCGCGCUGGAUUAGGUAGUUGGUGGGGUAAUGGCAUACCAAGCCGACGAUCCAUAUCUGGUUUGAGAGGAUGAUCAGCCACACUGGGACUGAGACACGGCCUAGACUCCUACGGGAGGCAGCAGUGGGGAAUCUUAGACAAUGGGGGAAACCCUGAUCUAGCCAUGCCGCGUGAGCGAUGAAGGCCUUAGGGUUGUAAAGCUCUUUCAGUGGGGAAGAUAAUGACGGUACCCACAGAAGAAGCCCCGGCUAACUCCGUGCCAGCCGCCGCGGUAA